rnacentral:rRNA from 1 species
GACGAACGCUGGCGGCGUGCUUAACACAUGCAAGUCGAACGGAAAGGCCCUGCUUUUGUGGGGUGCUCGAGUGGCGAACGGGUGAGUAACACGUGAGUAACCUGCCCUUGACUUUGGGAUAACUUCAGGAAACUGGGGCUAAUACCGGAUAGGAGCUCCUGCUGCAUGGUGGGGGUUGGAAAGUUUCGGCGGUUGGGGAUGGACUCGCGGCUUAUCAGCUUGUUGGUGGGGUAGUGGCUUACCAAGGCUUUGACGGGUAGCCGGCCUGAGAGGGUGACCGGCCACAUGGGGACUGAGAUACGGCCCAGACUCCUACGGGAGGCAGCAGGGGGGAAUAUUGCACAAUGGGCGGAAGCCUGAUGCAGAAACGCCGCGUGCGGGAUGACGGCCUUCGGGUUGUGAACCGCUUUCGCCUGUGACGAAGCGUGAGUGACGGUAAUGGGUAAAGAAGCACCGGCUAACUACGUG